UACGGAGGGUGCAAGCGUUAAUCGGAAUUACUGGGCGUAAAGGGUGCGUAGGUGGUUAGAUAAGUUAUCUGUAAAAUCCCUGGGCUUAACCUGGGCAGGUCAGAUAAGACUGUUUGACUCGAGUAUUGGAGAGGGUAGUGGAAUUUCCGGUGUAGCGGUGAAAUGCGUAGAGAUCGGAAGGAACACCAGUGGCGAAGGCGGCUACCUGGCCAAAUACUGACACUGAGGCACGAAAGCGUGGGGAGCAAACAGG
rnacentral:rRNA from 1 species